CAGAACUCACAAAGCAAGGCAAUCAUUUGACAAGUCUUUCCUUCAAUACAACAACUAUCUAAGAUGAGGACUAGCCAGAUGUUGCUCUUGAUCGCGGCCUUCCUUGUCCUAGCAUCAGAUGCGGUAACAAAGGCGUCAGCGGCCGUUGAAGGAGACCCCUGUGUGUCAAGCAUUAUCCCAUCACCAAAGCCAUGUGAUAAUAAAAGCUGCAAUAAGGGCAUGUACAAUAGUUGAUAAAACAGUCUUAUCUUAAGUGUUGCAUGUAAUUUAGAGAUGACAAAAAAGUAUGUCUACAAUGGGUUAUAUCUUAACCUUAUCUUCAGUAGCUAGUCAUUCCUUAAAACAUGGUGAGACAAAUUGUGCUAAGAGAUCAUCUCUUGUCUUAUCUUAAAUAAGAGAAGACAAACCUUUUCUUGUGA